rnacentral:lncRNA from 1 species
UAAACUAAGGUCCUUGGCUUCUGCGGAACAUGAUUGAAAGAAUAAUGCCUAACCACAAAUAACUUGUGUGACAUUAUUAGUUCAACAUGACCUCCACCAAGUGAAUGGACUCGCAAGUCAACUGGCUAAGGACUACUCCACACCAGUCAACAAGACUAUGCCAUUCUCCUAUCCUAGAGAGCACUCGAGUUCGGGUAUAGAACUCAUCUCACAGAUCACCAAAGC